rnacentral:rRNA from 1 species
GACGAACGCUGGCGGCGUGCUUAAAACAUGCAAGUCGAACGAAUGAGGCAAGGUGCUUGCACCGAGCCGAGUUAGUGGCGGACGGGUGAGUAAUGCAUGAGCAACCUGCCCUUCAGUGGGGGACAACAGUUGGAAACGACUGCUAAUACCGCAUAAUACUUCCGAAAGGCAUCUUUUGGAAGUCAAAGAUUUAUUGCUGAAGGAUGGGCUCAUGUCUGAUUAGCUAGUUGGUGAGGUAACGGCUCACCAAGGCGACGAUCAGUAGCCGGUCUGAGAGGAUGAACGGCCACAUUGGGACUGAGAUACGGCCCAGACUCCUACGGGAGGCAGCAGUGGGGAAUAUUGGGCAAUGGGCGAAAGCCUGACCCAGCAAUGCCGCGUGAAGGAAGAAGGCCUUCGGGUUGUAAACUUCUUUACCGUAGGACGAAUAAAUAGACGGUACUCGGCGAAUAAGCUCCGGCUAACUACGUG